ACGGAGGAUGCGAGCGUUAUCCGGAUUUAUUGGGUUUAAAGGGUGCGUAGGCGGAUCGAUAAGUCAGUGGUGAAAUACUGCAGCUUAACUGUAGAAUUGCCGUUGAUACUGUCGGUCUUGAGUACGGUCAAGGUAGGCGGAAUGUGUAAUGUAGCGGUGAAAUGCUUAGAUAUUACACAGAACACCGAUUGCGAAGGCAGCUUACUGGGCCGCAACUGGCGCUGAGGCACGAAAGCGUGGGGAGCGAACA
rnacentral:rRNA from 1 species